UUUCCGUAGGUGAACCUGCGGAAGGAUCAUUAAAAAAUAUCACAUUUGUUUGUGAUUUAAUAAUCAUCCUACCCUUUGUGAAUUUGUUUUUGUUUGAAAUUUAUGUUGUCUAUCCCUGGAUUAUGAAAGAAAAGUUGUAAAAGACUUUUUUUUCAUUCUAGGGAAUAGGCUUUCAUAGACAUUUUUUUAAAUUAAACUUUUUGUAUUCAUUUGUCUAAAAUUUAUUUUUAAAUAAUUUAAAAACAACUUUUGACAAUGGAUCUCUUGGUUCUCGCAACGAUGAAGAACGCAGCAAAAUGCGAUAAGUAAUGUGAAUUGCAGAAUACGUGAAUCAUCAAAUUUUCGAACGCAUAUUGCACUUUUUUAGUUUACUAAAAAAGUAUGUCUGUUUGAGUAUCAGUAAAAUAUUCUCAUAAAAACUAUUGUUUUUAUGGUUAUGAGUGUUUUACAACGAUAACAAGUUGUUUCACUUUAAAUUGAUUUUUUUAAUAAGCCAAUUUGGUUUUAUUUUUAAAAUUGGAUAAAAUUUUCCCGUAAAAAGGAAUAAACUUUUCAGUUUUAAAGUUAAAACUUAAAUUGACCUACAAAAAAGGAAAUUUAAUUAUAAAACUAACUUGAUCUCAAAUCAGAUAAGAGUACCCGCUGAACUUAAGCAUAUCAAUAAGCGGAGGAAAAGAAACUAACAAGGAUUCCCUUAGUAACGGCGAGUGAAGCGGGAAGAGCUCAAAUUUGAAAUCUUCAAGGUUCUACCUUGGCGAAUUGUAGUUUAAAGAAGUGUUUUCUGUUAGUGGAGCGGCAAAAGUUCUUUGGAAUAGGACAUCAUAGAGGGUGAGAAUCCCGUAUUUGGUCAUUCCUUCUAGCUUUGUGAUACACUUUCAAAGAGUCGGAUUGUUUGGGAAUGCAGUCCAAAAUGGGUGGUAAAUUUCAUCUAAAGCUAAAUAUUGGCGAGAGACCGAUAGCGACAAGUACCGUGAGGGAAAGAUGAAAAGAACUUUGAAAAGAGAGUUAAACAGUACGUGAAAUUGUCAAAAGGGAAGCGUUUGACACCAGUGUUGUUUUUCCGAAAAUCAAUUAUAAAUGUUUUGUUUCUGAGGAGUGAUGACUUCAUCGGCUUCCUUCUCUCUUCACGAAACUUUUGUAAUGCACUUUUCGGUUAACAAGUCAACAUCAAUUUCUUUUGUUGUAAAAGAGUACUCGGAAGGUGACUUUCUUUUCGGAGAAAGUGUUUAUAGCCCUUUACUUCUACAAUCGGAGAGAUUGAGGUCUGCAGCGUAGAUCCUUCGGGGUUAGAUACACUUGUGCUAAGUUAUAGCUUUUCAUAGACAACUUGUUGACUAUGUUUAGUCUUGUAGCUUACUCGCUUGUGCUAUUU
rnacentral:misc_RNA from 1 species